UGUGUGAGAGUUUGUAAACAGAGUUUUGAUAUAGUUUUGCUGUUUUUAAACCUGGCUUCCAGUUACUUCAUUUCAUCAAGGAUUUUCUCUGUUUUUGG